rnacentral:rRNA from 1 species
GACGAACGCUGGCGGCGUGCUUAACACAUGCAAGUCGAACGGCAAGGCCCUGCUUUUGUGGGGUGCUCGAGUGGCGAACGGGUGAGUAACACGUGAGUAACCUGCCCUUGACUUUGGGAUGACUUCAGGAAACUGGGGCUAAGACCGGAUAGGAUCUCCUGUUGCAUGGUGGGGGUUGGAAAGUUUCGGCGGGUGGGGAUGGACGCGCGGCUUAUGAGCUUGUUGGUGGGGUAGUGGCUUGCCAAGGCUUUGACGGGUAGCCGGCCUGAGAGGGUGGCCGGCCACAUUGGGACUGAGGUACGGCCCAGACGCCUACGGGAGGCAGCAGGGGGGAAUAUUGCACAAUGGGCGGAAGCCUGAUGCAGCAACGCCGCGUGCGGGAUGACGGCCUUCGGGUUGUAAACCGCUUUCGCCUGUGACGAAGCGUGAGUGACGGUAAUGGGUAAAGAAGCACCGGCUAACUACGUG